CCUUUGGACCAAGAUGUACAACUCUUGGCUCCUCCAGCACCAUGUCUGCCUGCACACUGCCUUGCUUCCUGCCAGGAUGAUAAUGGACUGAACCUCUGCAGUGAAAAGAGCCUCGUGAUUCAGCCUACCUGUCUCAAGAGCAGACAUCAUCUUCUAAGACCACCCCUUCUGCUAAGCAGGGAAAGGAUGCUUGUGACCAGAGCUGGAGGUCUCAGCUUCAGAUUUGUUUCUCUAAGAGUGCAUUAUC
rnacentral:lncRNA from 1 species